UUGCCAGCCCGCUCAGAACUCAAGGAAUUGACGGGGCCGCACAAGCGGUGGAGUAUGUGGUUUAAUUCGAUGCAACGCGAAGAACCUUACCUGGUCUUGACAUCCCGGAGACCCUUAGGAAACUAGGGGGUGCUUCCAUCUGGAAGAAUCUGGAGACAGGUGCUGCAUGGCUGUCGUCAGCUCGUGUCGUGAGAUGUUGGGUUAAGUCCCGCAACGAGCGCAACCCUUGCCUUUAGUUGCCAGCAGUUCGGCUGGGCACUCUAAAGGGACUGCCGGUGUUAAACCGGAGGAAGGUGGGGAUGACGUCAAGUCCUCAUGGCCUUUAUGACCAGGGCUACACACGUACUACAAUGGCCGAUACAAAGGGCAGCGACACUGCGAGGUGAAGCCAAUCCCGUAAAAUCGGUCUCAGUCCGGAUUGGAGUCUGCAACUCGACUCCAUGAAGUUGGAAUCGCUAGUAAUCGUGGAUCAGCAUGCCACGGUGAAUACGUUCCCGGGCCUU
rnacentral:rRNA from 1 species